CAGCAGCCGCGGGAAUACGAAGGGGGCUAGCGUUGUUCGGAUUUACUGGGCGUAAAGGGCGCGUAGGCGGGCGAAUCAGUCAGGGGUGAAAUCUAUGGGCUCAACCCAUAGUCUGCAGGCGAAACUGUCGGGCUUGAGUAUUGGAGAGGUGAGUGGAAUUUCCGGUGUAGCGGUGAAAUGCGUAGAUAUCGGAAGGAACACCUGUGGCGAAAGCGGCUCACUGGACAAUAACUGACGCUGAGGCACGAAAGCUAGGGGAGCAAACAGGAUUAGAGACCCCAGUAGUCCCUGUCUCUUAUAC
rnacentral:rRNA from 1 species